rnacentral:rRNA from 1 species
GAUGAACGCUGGCGGCGCGCCUAACACAUGCAAGUCGAACGAUUAAAGCACCUUCGGGUGUGUAUAAAGUGGCGAACGGCUGAGUAACACGUGGGCAACCUGCCCCUUUCAUUGGGAUAGCCACGGGAAACCGUGGAUAAUACCGAAUACUUCGAGACUUCCGCAUGGAAGACUCGAGAAAGCUCCGGCGGAGAGGGAUGGGCCCGCGGCCUGUUAGCUUGUUGGUGGGGUAACGGCCUACCAAGGCAAUGAUGGGUAGCUGGGUUGAGAGACCGACCAGCCAGAUUGGGACUGAGACACGGCCCAGACUCCUAUGGGAGGCAGCAGUGGGGAAUCUUGCACAAUGGGCGAAAGCCUGAUGCAGCGACGCCGCGUGCGGGAUGAAGGCCUUCGGGUUGUAAACCGCUUUCAGCAGGGACGAGGCGAAAGUGACGGUACCUGCAGAAGAAGCCCCGGCUAACUACGUG